rnacentral:lncRNA from 1 species
AGAAAAAUUGGUUUUUCCGGAAUACAAAAUCCUUGAGUUAAAAGAGCUUUCAUAAUAUUUAACAAUUAAGCACAACUCUCUUCCUCACCAAUCUCACUCAUUCCCAACUUUUUCCCCUUUUCUUUUCUUUUUCAUUGAGCUCAUCUUCAUGCUUUUUCUUCUUUUCUUUUCUUUUUCUCAUGAUUUUUUUUUUCUUCUUUUCACAACAUUUGAGCUCAAUGCGUUUCACUUGCUUUUUCAAUUUUCCCCCGUACAACCCCAAACUUAAACCUUUUCAUCACAAACAAUUAAGCUCAUCCUAACUCAAGG